UACGUAGGGUGCAAGCGUUGUCCGGAAUUAUUGGGCGUAAAGAGCUCGUAGGCGGUCUGUUGCGUCGGCUGUGAAAACCCGAGGCUCAACCUCGGGCCUGCAGCCGAUACGGGCAGACUAGAGUCAGGUAGGGGAGAACGGAAUUCCUGGUGUAGCGGUGAAAUGCGCAGAUAUCAGGAGGAACACCGGUGGCGAAGGCGGUUCUCUGGGCCUGUACUGACGCUGAGGAACGAAAGCGUGGGGAGCGAACAGG
rnacentral:rRNA from 1 species